UGGGGAAUAUUGGACAAUGGGCGAAAGCCUGAUCCAGCCAUGCCGCGUGUGUGAAGACGGUCUUCGGAUUGUAAAGCACUUUAAGUUGGGAGGAAGGGCAGUAAGCGAAUACCUUGCUGUUUUGACGUUACCGACAGAAUAAGCACCGGCUAACUCUGUGCCAGCAGCCGCGGUAAUACAGAGGGUGCAAGCGUUAAUCGGAAUUACUGGGCGUAAAGCGCGCGUAGGUGGUUCGUUAAGUUGAAUGUGAAAGCCCCGGGCUCAACCUGGGAACUGCAUCCAAAACUGGCGAGCUAGAGUAGGGCAGAGGGUGGUGGAAUUUCCUGUGUAGCGGUGAAAUGCGUAGAUAUAGGAAGGAACACCAGUGGCGAAGGCGACCACCUGGGAUCAUACUGACACUGAGGUGCGAAAGCGUGGGGAGCAAACAGG
rnacentral:rRNA from 1 species